CUCCUACGGGAGGCAGCAGUGGGGAAUCUUGCGCAAUGGGGGGAACCCUGACGCAGCGACGCCGCGUGCGGGACGGAGGCCUUCGGGUCGUAAACCGCUUUCAGCAGGGAAGAGUCAAGACUGUACCUGCAGAAGAAGCCCCGGCUAACUACGUGCCAGCAGCCGCGGUAAUACGUAGGGGGCGAGCGUUAUCCGGAUUCAUUGGGCGUAAAGCGCGCGUAGGCGGGCCCGGCAGGCCGGGGGUCGAAGCGGGGGGCUCAACCCCCCGAAGCCCCCGGAACCUCCGCGGCUUGGGUCCGGUAGGGGAGGGUGGAACACCCGGUGUAGCGGUGGAAUGCGCAGAUAUCGGGUGGAACACCGGUGGCGAAGGCGGCCCUCUGGGCCGAGACCGACGCUGAGGCGCGAAAGCUGGGGGAGCGAACAGGAUUAGAUACCCUGGUAGUCCCAGCCGUAAACGAUGGACGCUAGGUGUGGGGGGACGAUCCCCCCGUGCCGCAGCCAACGCAUUAAGCGUCCCGCCUGGGGAGUACGGCCGCAAGGCUAAAACUCAAAGGAAUUGACGGGGGCCCGCACAAGCAGCGGAGCAUGUGGCUUAAUUCGAAGCAACGCGAAGAACCUUACCAGGGCUUGACAUAUGGGUGAAGCGGGGGAGACCCCGUGGCCGAGAGGAGCCCAUACAGGUGGUGCAUGGCUGUCGUCAGCUCGUGUCGUGAGAUGUUGGGUUAAGUCCCGCAACGAGCGCAACCCCCGCCGCGUGUUGCCAUCGGGUGAUGCCGGGAACCCACGCGGGACCGCCGCCGUCAAGGCGGAGGAGGGCGGGGACGACGUCAAGUCAUCAUGCCCCUUAUGCCCUGGGCUGCACACGUGCUACAAUGGCCGGUACAGAGGGAUGCCACCCCGCGAGGGGGAGCGGAUCCCGGAAAGCCGGCCCCAGUUCGGAUUGGGGGCUGCAACCCGCCCCCAUGAAGUCGGAGUUGCUAGUAAUCGCGGAUCAGCAUGCCGCGGUGAAUGCGUUCCCGGGCCUUGUACACACCGC
rnacentral:rRNA from 1 species